UAGGGAAUCUUCGGCAAUGGGGGGAACCCUGACCGAGCAACGCCGCGUGAGUGAAGAAGGUUUUCGGAUCGUAAAGCUCUGUUGUUAAGGAAGAACGAGUGUGAGAAUGGAAAGUUCAUACUGUGACGGUACUUAACCAGAAAGGGACGGCUAACUACGUGCCAGCAGCCGCGGUAAUACGUAGGUCCCGAGCGUUGUCCGGAUUUAUUGGGCGUAAAGCGAGCGCAGGCGGUUAGAUAAGUCUGAAGUUAAAGGCAGUGGCUCAACCAUUGUAGGCUUUGGAAACUGUUUAACUUGAGUGCAGAAGGGGAGAGUGGAAUUCCAUGUGUAGCGGUGAAAUGCGUAGAUAUAUGGAGGAACACCGGUGGCGAAAGCGGUUCUCUGGUCUGUAACUGACGCUGAGGCUCGAAAGCGUGGGGAGCGAACAGG
rnacentral:rRNA from 1 species